CAAAAGCAUUCCUAGGCCAGCCAAUAAACAUCGACCCUCCAGCAUAACCUGGGUCUUCCUCUGGGUCUCCACCCUUUGGGAUAUGAGUGGAACACCUCACCAGGGAGACGUCAGGGAGGUAUCCUAACCAGGUUUAGUCCAUUUGAUAAUUGAUGGAGGAACACUGUCAACACUGCAGGGUUGGGUGACGAGGGAAGCAGCCUAACUAAGAAGUCUAGGAGAGGGAGACAGUCAAAGUCUCUCUCUCCCCAGUCACUUGGGCCAGAUUUUCAAAAACAAUCCCAGGCCAGCCAAUAAACAUCAACCCUCCAGCAUAACCUGGGUCUUCCUCUGGUUCUCCGCCCUUUGGGAUAUGAGUGGAACACCUCACCAGGGAGACGUCAGGGAGGUAUCCUAACCA